AAGGGUGUAAUUUAAUGGUAAAAUUGUAACCUUCCAAGUUAAGUAUGCAAGUUCGAUUCUUGUCACCCAAA